UCAACUUGAGAGUUUGAUCCUGGCUCAGAACGAACGCUGGCGGCAGGCUUAACACAUGCAAGUCGAGCGCCCCGCAAGGGGAGCGGCAGACGGGUGAGUAACGCGUGGGAACGUACCAUUUGCUACGGAAUAACUCAGGGAAACUUGUGCUAAUACCGUAUGUGCCCUUCGGGGGAAAGAUUUAUCGGCAAAUGAUCGGCCCGCGUUGGAUUAGCUAGUUGGUGGGGUAAAGGCUCACCAAGGCGACGAUCCAUAGCUGGUCUGAGAGGAUGAUCAGCCACACUGGGACUGAGACACGGCCCAGACUCCUACGGGAGGCAGCAGUGGGGA
rnacentral:rRNA from 1 species